rnacentral:rRNA from 1 species
UCCUACGGGAGGCAGCAGUGGGGAAUAUUGCACAAUGGGCGCAAGCCUGAUGCAGCAACGCCGCGUGAGGGACGAAGGCCUUCGGGUUGUAAACCUCUUUUAGUAGGGAAGAAGCGACUGGGUUUUCCUGGGAGUGACGGUACCUGCAGAAAAAGCACCGGCUAACUACGUGCCAGCAGCCACGGUAAUACGUAGGGUGCAAGCGUUGUCCGGAAUUAUUGGGCGUAAAGAGCUCGUAGGCGGUUUGUCGCGUCUGCUGUGAAAACCCGAGGCUCAACCUCGGGCCUGCAGUGGGUACGGGCAGACUAGAGUGCGGUAGGGGAGAUUGGAAUUCCUGGUGUAGCGGUGGAAUGCGCAGAUAUCAGGGGGAACACCAAUGGCGAAGGCAGAUCUCUGGGCCGUAACUGACGCUGAGGAGCGAAAGCAUGGGGAGCGAACAGGAUUAGAUACCCUGGUAGUCCAUGCCGUAAACGUUGGGAACUAGAUGUGGGGACCAUUCCACGGUCUCCGUGUCGCAGCUAACGCAUUAAGUUCCCCGCCUGGGGAGUACGGCCGCAAGGCUAAAACUCAAAGGAAUUGACGGGGGCCCGCACAAGCGGCGGAGCAUGCGGAUUAAUUCGAUGCAACGCGAAGAACCUUACCAAGGCUUGACUUAUACCGGAAACGGCUGGAAACAGUCGCCCCGCAAGGUCGGUAUACAGGUGGUGCAUGGUUGUCGUCAGCUUGUGUCGUGAGAUGUUGGGUUAAGUCCCGCAACGAGCGCAACCCUCGUCCUAUGUUGCCAGCACGUAAUGGUGGGAACUCAUGGGAUACUGCCGGGGUCAACUCGGAGGAAGGUGGGGAUGACGUCAAAUCAUCAUGCCCCUUAUGUCUUGGGCUUCACGCAUGCUACAAUGGCCGGUACAAAGGGCUGCGAUACCGCAAGGUGGAGCGAAUCCCAAAAAGCCGGUCUCAGUUCGGAUUGAGGUCUGCAACUCGACCUCAUGAAGUCGGAGUCGCUAGUAAUCGCAGAUCAGCAACGCUGCGGUGAAUACGUUCCCGGGCCUUGUACACACCGCC